GAACUCUGGAGAGUGGGGAGAGAAAAGAAAGAAAAGAAAAAAGGAAAAAGACAAGACGCUAAAUGCUCGAGUUGCUGCCAUCUCACGCCGCUGAACUUGGACUACUGGAAUGAUGUGCUUUGCCAAGGCUGCUCAGCACAGUGAAACUCAAUGUACCUGCAUUUUCCCUUCGAAAAAUGGUAUUUAGACCAUCACAUGCUAAUCAGUUAGUUUAUAUCCAUUCUGGAAACCAGUUAAAUAGAAAUAAUCUCGAAAGAUUGAUAUUCAGAAGAUGACGUUGCCUUUACUCUGGAAAAUUCGAGCGCUUUGAGCAGCUAAACGAGCCCCUCUCCUACUGCUCCUUGUGCCCUCUGCACGGGUUUAUGUUCGGGUUGAGGAACCACCUUCUCCCACACGAGAUGCUGCAGAAAACAACUCAAAGAAGCGUUGGGACAGAGAAGCACAUGACAGCGAAGCAUCUCUGCAUCACUAUGAACACUUGGGAUGCUCGCCUUCGGACCUUCUGAAGCGAGGGUGGUUCUUUGAAUGACCUUCUGCCUGAGAAGUUCACCAAUUCCUGUCAUAGCUUCAUAUCCCUGAUCAAUGUGCUCAGAAAAGAGCAGAUGUGACCCCGGACACUGCACUGCAGACGUGGGUACUGGUUUUUUUAAAAGGCACCUCUGUCAACUUUGUUCCCGUGGACAUUCAUCUUUCCUUAAAAUUUCUAAAUUAAAAUUGAAGGCUUUAUGGAGAUUUACUAUCAUUAUAAGGUGAUAUUAAAAUAUGAUAGCCUUUAAAAUGUAUCACCACACUCAAUAAAUGUUACUGGGCUGGGAAAGUAAAGCAAAAAACAAAGAAAAUAUAUGAACAGAAGGGAUUCUGUAGGAUUUGUAGUUGAUUUGUUCAUUCCUUCUCUCUCUUCUCCUCUUUCUCUUCCCUCCUUCCUUCUUUCCUUAUUUCCUUCAGUCUUAGAAACUAGUUACUGAAAAUCUGUUACGUGAUGAUGUAAUGUCAGGACGUGCUCCAGCAGCAUCUCAAAUGCUGGAAAGGAUUAAUGUGAGGAACAGGCUGGCAGCCUGCUGAAGUCAUUUAAAAGACAGCAAAUGCUACGGAAUAAACAAGCAAAAAUGAAUGCUAGUUGGUUAUUAAAGUAAAAUUUCUUACUUAAUUGAAGACUGAUAUCACUUGAACUAAAUCUGACUACAGAAGGGCCAUCUUCCCGCUAAGUGCAGAGAGAAGAGUUGACAUUGCAUUUUGUAUAGUUGUGUAUGGAGAUGGCUUAUGUCACUCUGUCUUGAUACCCUUUUUCACAGAAUCAUCAUGCGAACUCAGACAUGAUUCAAAUCCAGUCAGAUCUUUACGCAGAGAUUAAGAAUCACAAAGUCUCUAUUAUUAACUAGAUUUUGGAUGUGAGUAUUUCAUUGUAAACCUCCUGGAUCCAUUGCCUUUCCAGCCAAUCUGGGUCAAGACCUCUCAGCUGCCAUGUGCUUUCCCCAGGUUUCCCGGGUUUCUAAUCUCCAGCUAGCUCUGUUCUUCAGCUGCUUUUUGACUGGUAAUGAGUAACUGGCUGGCUUACUUGCAGACUUUAUACACAAAAGUACAAGAAACCUGACAUUCUUGGUGGACGGAUUCAAUUAAUUAUCUCCUCUAAACUUGUUCUCCCCGCUGGAC
ensembl:lncRNA